UCACUGCUGACGAGUCCCAUACAGGACGAAGCAGCUGUCAAGUGC
rfam:Echinostoma caproni strain Egypt genome assembly, scaffold: ECPE_scaffold0013071